rnacentral:rRNA from 1 species
GAUUAUGGCUCAGGAUGAACGCUAGCUACAGGCCUAACACAUGCAAGUCGAGGGGCAGCAGAUCGAAAGCUUGCUUUGAUGCUGGCGACCGGCGAAUGGGUGAGUCACGCGUGUCCAACCUGCCCUGUGCCCGGGGAUAGCCCUUGGAAAUGAGGAUUAACACCCGAUACGUGGCGCUUCCGCAUGGCGGCGCCAUGAAACUGACACAGGAUGGGGACGCGUCGGAUUAGCUUGACGGCGGGGCGACGGCCCACCGUGGCGACGAUCCGCAGGGGUUCUGAGAGGAAGGUCCCCCACACUGGCACUGAGACACGGGCCAGACUCCUACGGGAGGCAGCAGUGAGGAAUAUUGGUCAAUGGCCGAGAGGCUGAACCAGCCAAGUAGCGUGCAGGACGACGGCCCUACGGGUUGUAAACUGCUUUUGCGGGAGGAUAAAUGACGCCACGUGUGGCGUUUUGCAGGUAUCCCGUGAAUAAGGACCGGCUAAUUCCGUGCCAGCAGCGGC